ACGAACGCUGGCGGCAGGCUUAACACAUGCAAGUCGAGCGCCCCGCAAGGGGAGCGACAGACGGGUGAGUAACGCGUGGGAACGUACCUUUUGGUUCGGAACAACUCCGGGAAACUGGAGCUAAUACCGGAUAAGCCCUAACGGGGAAAGAUUUAUCGCCGAAAGAUCGGCCCGCGUCUGAUUAGCUAGUUGGUGAGGUAACGGCUCACCAAGGCGACGAUCAGUAGCUGGUCUGAGAGGAUGAUCAGCCACACUGGGACUGAGACACGGCCCAGACUCCUACGGGAGGCAGCAGUGGGGAAUAUUGGACAAUGGGCGCAAGCCUGAUCCAGCCAUGCCGCGUGAGUGAUGAAGGCCUUAGGGUUGUAAAGCUCUUUUGUCCGGGAAGAUAAUGACUGUACCGGAAGAAUAAGCCCCGGCUAACUUCAUG
rnacentral:rRNA from 1 species